rnacentral:rRNA from 1 species
CCUACGGGAGGCAGCAGUGAGGAAUAUUGGUCAAUGGACGAGAGUCUGAACCAGCCAAGUAGCGUGAAGGAUGACUGCCCUAUGGGUUGUAAACUUCUUUUAUAUGGGAAUAAAAUGUUCCACGUGUGGGAUUUUGUAUGUACCCUAUGAACAAGGAUCGGCUAACUCCGUGCCAGCAGCCGCGGUAAUACGGAGGGUCCGAGCGUUAUCCGGAUUUAUUGGGUUUAAAGGGAGCGUAGGGGGAUUGUUAAGUCAGUUGUGAAAGUUUGCGGCGCAACCGUAAAAUUGCAGUUGAAACUGGCAGGCUUGAGUACAGGAGAGGUGGGCGGAAUUCGUGGUGUAGCGGUGAAAUGCUUAGAUAUCACGAAGAACUCCGAUUGCGAAGGCAGCUCACUGGACUGCAACUGACACUGAGGCUCGAAAGUGUGGGUAUCAAACAGGAUUAGAUACCCUAGUAGUC